GUGGGGCACGGCACGAUAAAUGUGAAAGAAAGAUGCCCUUUCGUUGGCCUCCAAAGAAACUCAACUACUCUUCUAUAGAAAAAAACCCCAUCUCUUGCAUAGCCCCUAAACCCUCUCGCAAGAUCUGAAGAUCUUACUUUGGGAACUUGAAGGAGGAAGAAACCUUUCUCUUUUUCUCAAGUUAUGCGUGUGUUCGUGCUUGUUUGAAAGACAUCUGUGGCGGAUGAGAUGGUGGAUCUUUGGUCAGAAUUUUCCUCCUCAGGUGAUGAAGCAUUGAAAAUCACUAUUUUAGAAGAGGAAACAGAAGUUAGGAUUCAUGGAAAAUUUCCGAGGACAAGGCAUGUGAUAUUGGAGUUUCAAUCUUUGGAAUGGGUGGCAUCGGUAAAGUUACUCUUCAUUGUCCAGGAUGUAGAAGAGAGCUGGGAGUUGUUCUGCAACGAGUAACUCUAAUAUUUUUCUUCAGCAUCCACGGAAAAUACAAGAUUUUAGAGAAGAUAGCUAAUUUUCAGAUCUUCAAUUGUUUUGUACCACCAUUUCUUCAUUUUAAAGACCUUUAAGAAUCUUGUACACUGGGGACGAGAGCACAAAGAGUGAGUAACUCAGCAAGACACGAUUCAAGGCACCUUCUUGCAGAUUUGGGGCUUGCAAGUGAUCAUCUUCUAAGGGACUGAACCACCAAUUCUUGAUGCAAAAACACUUGCACAGGCUUUUACACCGGAGAUCCAAGAACCUUUUUUGGCUUAAUUCCAUAAUAUGAGCAUGUGUUAUGCACCUGGUAACAUUUUCAUUAUCUUCCUUUUUGUUUCUCUGUAAAGCCUAGAAACCAAAUGAAUUUGUUCAGUGCGAUUAAGCCUAGCUCUGUGAUGCAUUUCUUUACCUGUAAUCUAGGACCACUUGGAUUUAUGCCAUGUUUUGGCUCAGGGCUGUAUCAAAUGUACCUAAAAUGCAAAUUGUAACGAACAUGGUGAUUUAGCCCAUGAGAAAA